ACGACCUUACUUGAACAGGAUCUGUUCUAUAGGAUCGUACCUCUGUAUCCUUGAUCACUAAGGAGACAGGACCUAAACCCGGUGGAUGAAUCAUGGCCAUGCGAUCAGAGCGUGAUUAACGGUCGUUGAAGUCUCUGAUUGAGGCAUCAAUCUGUAGAUGAUCGUUCUCAACUUGGGCUUGCCCGGUUGGGAUGGUCGCAUGGCUGUCUGACGGGCC